ACAUGACUCCCUCAUCACUAACAGGCUAACCUAUAUUACAAUAGGAGAAUUAAUGCUAGAAUGAGUAACCAGGGUCCUCCCUCUACGACGCAAGCUUACAUCUGCACAUUAUUAACAAACACCCAAUAUACGACAAAUCCAACAAGCAAAGUAUUAAUCACCUUGUUAACCCGACAGAGGAGCGUCCGUUAAGAAAGAUUAAAACCUGUAAAAGGAACUAGGCAAACCCGUCAAGGCCCGACUGUUUACCAAAAACAUAGCCUUCAGCAAACCAAAGGACAAGUAUUGAAGGUGAUGCCUGCCCGGUGACCCAGUUCAACGGCCGCGGUAUCCUAACCGUGCAAAGGUAGCGCAAUCAAUUGUCCCAUAAAUCGGGACACGUAUGAAUGGCUAAACGAGGUCUUAACUGUCUCUUACAGGCAAUCGGUGAAAUUGAUCUCCCUGUGCGAAAGCAGGGAUAACCACAUAAGACGAGAAGACCCUGUGGAACUUCAAAAACAGCAACCACCCCAAUAUACAUUCACACCCAAAGCACUGGUUUGCAUUUUUUCGGUUGGGGCGACCUUGGAGCAAAACAAAACCUCCAAAAACUGGACCAUACAUCCAGACUAAGAGCAACCCCUCAAAGUGCCAAAAGCACCCAGAUCCAAUACAAUUGAUCAAUGGACCAAGCUACCCCAGGGAUAACAGCGCGAUCUCCCCCGAGAGUCCAUAUCGACGGGGAGGUUUACGACCUCGAUGUUGGAUCAGGACAUCCUAGUGGUGCAGGGGCUACUAAGGGUUCGUUUGUUCAACGAUUAACAGUCCUACGUGAUCUGAGUUCAGACCGGAGCAAUCCAGGUCGGUUUCCAUCUAUGACGAACUCUUCCUCGUACGAAAGGAUCGGAAAAGUGAGGCCAAUACCACAAGCAAGCCUUCGCCUUAAGUAAUGAAGCCAACUCAAUUACAAAAGGCUAUCACACCACAUCACCUCCUAGAAAAGGACGCCA
rnacentral:rRNA from 1 species